GUGAGGGAGUAGUAAUGAGGCAUCGGGGAGAGAGCUCGCGCACACAGAGCUGAAACAAUAAUACUUCACAUUCGGAACCCAAAGCCCACCGCCAUAUAUCCACCACGACCCUCCCUUUCCGAUUCUCUUUUCACUCUCUUUCUCUUUUCUUGCUAAGCGCUAACGGUCGACCAAUCCGCCUUCAACGUAAAUUUUUAAUCUUUCUUCCUGUUUCCUUUUUCUUCGUAAGUUUUUAUUUUGAUCUGCUUUUUAAUUUUGUAACUGAAGUUCUGGGGCCUCUGGAUCUUCAGUUCUCUUUCUUGAUUUUCUUGGCCAUGCAUAACUUUAUUUGCAGGGAAAAAGAAAUGAUUUUUUUCUUGGUUUUCUUGGUGAAGGAAUUUGAAAUGAAGUGUUGAUUUGGGAGAAAGUAUAAGGUGGGUUUUAUUUGGGUAUUGGAGGGUUACUUUUUGUUCCGGGUUGAGUAAUUGGUAAUGGAAGGAGGAUCUGGUAACAAUUCUGCACCUCCUUCGACUACGUUUGACAAAUCAAAAGUUUUGGACGUCAAACCGCUGCGUACUUUGGUACCUGUGUUUCCAUCGAGCCCUCAGACUCCGCCGUUUGUUUGUGCACCUCCUUCUGGCCCUUUUCCAACUGGGUUUACCCCGUUUUACCCUUUUAAUGGACCGCAACCCAACCCUCCUGACCUCAACCAACAGACCCACACUCCAGCGCCACUUCGAUCUUUCCGGGCCCCCCUGUCUAAUGGAGAGGUGUCUAGAGAUGGGAACGCAGAUGGUUCCAUUGAUGCCCCAACAAAGCGCCCUGUGGGGCGGCCAAGGUCUACCUCGUCUCAAAAGAAAGCCAAGAAAGACCUGGAUGUUGCCUUGUCUGUUGCUAAUACCAAGUUCGUUGUGGGGAUUUCUUUCUCUCAGAAGCAGGAUGGUGAUAGGGAAGUGGUAAAUAGUGUGCGAAUGAGGUUUGAUGCCCUUAGGAGAAGGCUUAGCCGAUUAGAGGAUCCCAAGGAAUCUGUUAGCCGUGCAGAUUUGAAAGCGGGAAAGAUUCUGAUGAAGAAAGGGGCGAGGACAAAUGCGAGAAAGAGAGUUGGAGUGGUUCCUGGAGUUGAAAUUGGGGAUAUUUUCUUUUUCCGAAUAGAGAUGUUGUUGGUUGGGUUGCAUGCCCAGUCCAUGGCUGGGAUUGAUUGCAUGGUUGUGAGAGGUGAAAUAGAAGAUCUUCUGGCUGUAAGCAUUGUCUCCUCUGGUGGGUAUGAUGAUGAGGCAGAGGAUAAGGAUGUUUUGAUUUAUAGUGGGCAUGGGGGCAAUGUCAACAGUAACAAGAAGGAUAAGCAAAUAGCUGAUCAGAAGCUUGAGAGGGGUAACCUUGCAAUGGAGAGGAGCUUGCACCGUAACAAUGAAGUGAGAGUCAUUCGGGGUAUGAAGGAUUCCAUUAGUGCAACAGCAAAGGUCUAUGUGUAUGAUGGGCUUUAUAGGAUCCAGGAGUCAUGGGUGGAAAAGGGGAAAUCUGGUUGCAAUAUAUUCAAGUAUAAGCUGCUUAGGUUGCCUGGGCAGCCAAGUGCUUUUGCUGUUUGGAAAUCAAUUCAGCAGUGGCGGGAAGGGUUUUCUUCAAGGAUUGGUUUAAUUCUGCCAGACCUCACUUCGGGGACUGAAGGUAUCCCUGUGUCACUUGUAAAUGAUGUUGAUGAAGAGAAGGGACCUGCCUACUUCACAUAUGUUGCUACUGUCAAGUAUAUUAAACCAUUUAAAUUGAUGGAGCCUUCUUAUGGAUGCAACUGUCGUAGUGCGUGUGCCCCAGGUGAUCUGAACUGCUCUUGCAAUAGGAAAAAUGGAGGUGACUUCCCUUAUACUGCCAACGGGGUUCUAGUUAGCCGGAGGCCGUUGGUUCAUGAAUGUGGUCCCACAUGUCCAUGCAUUCCCAACUGUAAGAACCGGGUUUCACAAACUGGUUUAAAGGUUCGCUUGGAAGUGUUUAAAACAAAGGACAGAGGUUGGGGACUGCGGUCAUGGGAUCCUAUUCGUGCUGGCACUUUUAUUUGUGAAUAUUCUGGUGAAGUCAUAGAAAAAGUGAAGACAAGGCAGGAUGGUGAAGGUGAAGAUGAUGAUUAUGUGUUUGAUACAACACGUGUUUAUGAGCCAUUCAAAUGGAAUUGUGAACCUGGAAUUGUAGAGGAGGAUAAUAAUGACACCACUGAGGAAUACAACAUCCCUUCUCCGCUAAUCAUAAGUGCCAAGAAUGUUGGAAAUGUAGCUCGAUUUAUGAAUCAUAGUUGUAAUCCAAAUGUUUUUUGGCAACCAGUUGCAUAUGAACAAAACAAUGAAUCCUAUGUCCGCAUUGCAUUUUUUGCAUUGAGACACAUCCCCCCUAUGACAGAGUUGACUUAUGACUAUGGGACUACCCGCACAGAUGAGGCUGAUGGUAAUAAUGCACUUCAUGGGAAAAAGAAAUGUUUAUGUGGAUCACCAAGAUGCCGGGGUCAUUUUGGUUGAAGAUUAUCUGUGAUCCAGCAUUGUGGCCGCAAGCACGGUCGGAUGAAAAGCAAUUCCUGGCGAGUGCAAAAUCUAUAUGCAUAUUUGGAGCUGUCAUUCACCAAUGCAAUGUUUGUUACUCAGUUAAAUGGGCACAUUUUGUUUUUGUUUUUCCUCGCCGUGCUCAGCCAUGUAGGACAGCUCUACUUCUAAGGGCAGAUUUAGUUUUGGAUCCUCUGCCUUGUAAUUUUGUGCAGGACCACAAGGUAGUGAAGUGUAUUAGUGCUCGCAUUAGUACUGCUCUGUAAAUUUUGCUUCUAUCCUAGGUAUUUUGUAUUUUACUGCAAAGUCAGUGUCCUUUGCAGGCCGUGGAAUGUUUGUAUGAUCCAAUCUCCAUCCCUGCUAAUGGAUUUCUCUCUCUUGCUUUCUUUUUCUGUAAGAUGACAUCUAAUCCCAUAGCAGUUUUAAAUCAAAAAAAUGUUUUUGAAUAGUGUCAUGCUGUUGAAAAUAGUAAUUUAUAAGUAACUUGAUAGCAAUGAGUCCGUUUUAUCCAAUAAGCAACCCCUUUUUAGUCCAGCACGGGCUGCACCUAAUCGAAGAUCGCCUGAAAUCAGCACCAAUCUAGCCUGGUCACCUACCAAGACAAUCAAGCGUUAACCUUCUCGGCAACUGAUGUACCAGGUUCUGCAUCAUUCCUUUCUUGGGCUUUUUUACCUCUUUUGCUUCUUUGAUUUUGGCCCCUUCGGAGAAGCUCGAAGCUACAGGAACAAUGAUAAAGAUCAAGGAGACAGCAA
rnacentral:misc_RNA from 1 species